rnacentral:rRNA from 1 species
GAUGAACGCUAGCGGGAGGCUUAACACAUGCAAGUCGAGGGGCAGCAUAGGGUAGCAAUACUCUGAUGGCGACCGGCAAACGGGUGAGUAACGCGUAUGCAACCUACCCUGUACAGGGGGAUAACCCGGAGAAAUUCGGACUAAUAUCCCGUAAUAAUAUCCGGAGGCAUCUUUGGAUAUUUAAAGUUCCGACGGUACGGGAUGGGCAUGCGUAACAUUAACUGGUUGGUAAGGUAACGGCUUACCAAGGCUAUGAUGUUUAGGGGUCCUGAGAGGGUGGUCCCCCACACUGGUACUGAGACACGGACCAGACUCCUACGGGAGGCAGCAGUGAGGAAUAUUGGUCAAUGGGCGCAAGCCUGAACCAGCCAUCCCGCGUGCAGGAAGACGGCCCUAUGGGUUGUAAACUGCUUUUCCGAGGGAGAGAAACUUACGCACGUGUUGCGUGACUGACGGUACCCUGGGAAUAAGCAUCGGCUAACUCCGUGCCAGCAGCCGCGGUAAACCGAGAGUA